rnacentral:rRNA from 1 species
CCUACGGGUUGCAGCAGUGGGGAAUUUUCCGCAAUGGGCGAAAGCCUGACGGAGCAAUGCCGCGUGUGUGAAGAAGGUCUUCGGAUUGUAAAGCACUUUCGACGGGGACGAUGAUGACGGUACCCGUAGAAGAAGCCCCGGCUAACUUCGUGCCAGCAGCCGCGGUAAUACGAAGGGGGCUAGCGUUGCUCGGAAUGACUGGGCGUAAAGGGCGCGUAGGCGGUUUAUGCAGUCAGAUGUGAAAUCCCCGGGCUUAACCUGGGAACUGCAUUUGAGACGCAUAGACUAGAGGUCGAGAGAGGGUUGUGGAAUUCCCAGUGUAGAGGUGAAAUUCGUAGAUAUUGGGAAGAACACCGGUGGCGAAGGCGGCAACCUGGCUCGAUACUGACGCUGAGGCGCGAAAGCGUGGGGAGCAAACAGGAUUAGAUACCCGCGUAGUC